AGCGAACGCUGGCGGCAGGCCUAACACAUGCAAGUCGAGCGCCCAGCAAUGGGAGCGGCAGACGGGAUAGUAACACGUGGGAACGUACCUUUCAGUUCGGAACAACCAAGGGAAACUUUGGCUAAUACCGAAUACGCCCGUAAGGGGAAAGAUUUAUCGCUGAAAGAUCGGCCCGCGUCUGAUUAGCUAGUUGGUGAGGUAAUGGCUCACCAAGGCGACGAUCAGUAGCUGGUCUGAGAGGAUGAUCAGCAUCACUGGGACUGAGACACGGCCCAGACUCCUACGGGAGGCAGCAGUGGGGAAUAUUGGACAAUGGGCGCAAGCCUGAUCCAGCCAUGCCGCGUGAGUGAUGAAGGCCUUAGGGUUGUAAAGCUCUUUCGUCAGGGAAGAUAAUGACGGUACCUGAAGAAGAAGCCCCGGCUAACUUCGUGCCAGCAGCCGCAGUAAUAC
rnacentral:rRNA from 1 species